CAUUUGGUUCCAACACUUAACAAGUGUGAGGAUUAAAAGGGAACCGGGUGAAAUUCCCGGGCUAUUCCCGUAGCUGUAAGUUUUAAGAUUGCUUCAAAUGCCACUGUUCAAGAAUCGAAUGGGAAGGUGAAGCAAAGCGAAAUGAGCCAGAAGACCUGCCAAACGC
rnacentral:ncRNA from 1 species